GGUAUCUCAUGUGGCCCAGAUCAACAACUGCUGGGUUUUCUCUUUGAAAUCGUUUUAAUGUUGAUCUUAACCCUCCAUUCUUUUGGAGGCUUAAGUAGACCCUUUUCUAUAAAAAGGGUCAGACUUUGGUCGUGAGAGGUUGUUGAUCCAUCCUUUUUCUCCUAUUUGGUCUUCAACAUUUUGAUGUUUCUCUGCAAAGCUUUUGACUUAACUGCCGUUAGAUAUUGAUUACACUCUUUUUAGUUCCUGGCCGUUGCUUGGGUCAGCCGAGAUUUUUGCACAGACGAUUUUGGAGAUCUAGCUUAAUUGGG
rnacentral:lncRNA from 1 species